rnacentral:lncRNA from 1 species
UGGCUCUCAAUUUAUUGUAACUGCCUUUUUAUUGGAUCAAACUUUUGAUUCCUUGUAAGCAAAAUGAACAAACCUUCUUUCCAUUUAAAAAAAAAAAAAGACACAAUAUGGUCCAAUACAAAGGAAGGGGCGGAGGGCAAAUACAGCAUGAAAGCUCUCAACAUCCCUGCACCUGUCACUUAGCAGGUGAAAAAAUUACAGGGUUGGAGCCAGUAGUUUCUCCAAAUGACUCUGAGGACUUAUAAAAAUACUAUCCAGCUUUUCUUUAAUGCUUUACAGUCUUCCAAAUAUCUUCAGAUAUAUCGUCCCACUCACAUUUGAAAACUACGUAUGCACAGGCCACCCUCCUGUUCCUCUCACCCCAAGGUAAGGAAAUGUACCUUAGAGAUGAGGUCGUAACUAGGGCGGCUAUAAGUUAUCAAGUGGCAAAGCAGCACAACUGGGAAAGCACCUCUUCUUGCUCUAAAAGCCAUCGUGGUCUGUCCCACCACAGCCAGAGGGCAGGCCUGGCUGUUCACACCUGGCCCCAUUACCAGUGCUUCGGCAGAGGGGGCCCAGUUUGAGCAGGUGCUCCUUUCCCUCCAGGUAAUGGAAGCCUCUCGGUAGAGAAGGACAGGGACUGCAGAAUGAAAGCAGUGUCACAUGCCUUUCCACUCUCCCCACCCCCCACCUCUCCUGCCCCAAGAACCAGGGAGCCAGAGCAAGCCACUAAGACCAAGCCGGGAAGAAGGCAGCAGGUCUAAAGGCAUACAACGUGGCCCAUGCCACGAGCGGUGGUCAUCACACUGGGGUCCAUGAAGACACCCCUCGUGCUCAGCUAAAGAAAGACCAGACCCAGCCAUCACAGUCUUGCAAUGGUGCAUUGCCCUCUGAUAGAAGGACUUCCGGAGCCAAAUCUAUGCACAAAGCGAGAAUGUAACUGCUUGAGGGAGAAUCCAGAAACUAAGCCAAGAGAGUUUGGGUGAAAAAUAGGGAGGCCUUGGAGUUUCCAUUGUGGCUCAAUGGGUUAAGAACCCGACACAGUGUCCUUGAGGAUGCGGGUUCUACCUCUGGCCCUGCUCAGCAUGUUAAGAAUCUGGAGGUGCCACCAGCUGCAGUGUAGGUCACAGAUGUGGCUCUGAUGGGUGUUGCUGCAGCUGUGACGCAGGCCUGCAGAUGUAUCUCUGAUUUGACACCCUAGCCCGGAACUUCCAUAUGCUGCAGGUGCAGCCCUAAAAAAAAAAAAAAAUCAAAACAUAUAGUGAGGCCUUGAAUAUGGACUUUACUUCUUCCAGGUGACAGCGGCUGGAAGGCCUAGUGCCUUAUGCUUCUAUUCCUGUCUGCCCAGACAUCCACGCGUCCUGGAGGGGGCAUUCAGAACUGAAAAGUUUACAUGCCAACCAAUAUUAAUACAUGUAUUGGAGUAGUAUUUGACAUUGAUUUCUAUUCAAAUAGAAAUGGGAAUAGAUUUGCAAAGAACCCAUUUUUUCUGACAGGACGUCUACUAUGACUGAUUUGAAAUAAAGACGAGUUCGGCGGAGUUCCCGCUGUGGAGUAAGGGAGUCAGCUGUGUCUCGGCAGCACUAGGAGGCAGGUUCCAUCUCUGGCCUGCCCAGCACAGUGGGUUAAAGGGUCUGGGCACUAUAGGUCACAACUGUGGCUUGGAUAUGAUCCCUAGUCUGGGAAUUCCACAUGCCAAAGGGCAACCAAAAAUGGGGGGAAAAAAAAAGAAGAAGAUCAGUUCUGCCGUUUAGAGUAUCUGAUACAUCUGAAAAUUGAAUGAGCCCAAUUUUCAGCCCUGAGGCUUGAUGGAAUAUGAUUAAAGCAAAAGGACAAUAAAUAGCCCAGAAAUCACAUCCAUGGCCUUGCCUAAAUGUAGAAGUUCCUAAAUUUUUACCAGGAGGUACAUAGAUUUUCAAAAUUAUUUUCAGGACUCCAUGACCAAAAAGGAUACUUGUUAACUGACAUUACGAACCUAUGUGGUGUGGUGAGAUUUUAUAUAUAUAUAUGUAUAUAUAUAUAUAUGUGUGUGUGUGUGUGUGUGUGUGUGUGUGUAUAUGUAUGUAUGUAUGUAUGUAUGUAUGUUUUAUCCGGUUCCUGGAAAAGAGCUUCACAAGCCCUUGGAACAUCUUUUGUUCUUCACAACCGCCAUGGCCCGAGUGUUUGCGUCCCCCAGAACCUGUGUGUUGAAGUCCUACCCUUCAAGUUGAUGGUGUUUGGAGUGAGGCCUUUGGGAGGGAUGAGGGUUCGAUGAGGACAUGAGAGUGGGGCCCUUAUGAUGAAAUUAAUGUUCUUAUAAGAGGAAAAAGAGGAGUUCCCGUUGUGGCUCAGCAGGUUAAGAAUCUGGCUAGUAUCCAUGAGGCCCUGCUCAGGAUCUAGUGUUGCCGUGAGCUGUGGUGUAGGUCACAGAUGCAGCUUGGAUCUGGCAUGGCUGUGGCUGUGGUGUAGGUCUCAGCUGCAGGUCUGAUUUGGCCCCUGCCCUGAGAGUUUCCAUUUGCUGCAGGUGCAGCCCUGAAAAAAAAAAAAAAAAAGAAUAAAAAGAGAUCAGAGCCCUUCCACCCCAACCCCUGCAUCCAUGGGAAGACACAGCAAGCAGGAAGCAGUCUGCAGGCUGGGUUGAGGGCCUUCACCAGGGGCUUGGAUCAACCAGCACUUUGAUCUGGGACUUCCAGCCUCCAUGACUGCAAGAAAUAGACUCCUAUACCGUAAGCUUUUGUUAGGCAGCACAAGCCAAUAGAAUAGCAACAACCCCCUUCCUACUUUAUCUGACUCUUGGGAGGGAGGUGAGCGGAGCUGGAGUUCAAUCCUGUGGCCAGUGGUUUAUUCUAUAAUGUCCAGAUAACGAAAACUUGAUUUGAAGACUCUGAAUGCCAGGCUUGAGGGAGCUUCCCCCUUGGUGACCAUAUGGAUGUACCAGGAAGAAAGCUGGCACCCGACUCAUGGGGACAGGAGCUCCUGCACCCUGGACCCUCCCAGCCCUGGCCCACCUGCUCUUCUGGCUGUUGCCUCACAGCUUUCCAGAUAAGGUAAGCCAUUAAGUAUAGCCUUUCCCCAAGUUUUGUGAGUCAUUCUAACAAACUACCACACCUCAGAGGGUUAGAGAGGGACCCAGACUUGAAAUGUACCCUGGGGACCCUGCUUGCAGCCGGCAUCUAAAACGAGGCCAGUGGUUGUCAGGUCAAGACCUUGCCCUUCCACCUGUGGGGCCUGAUGUAACUCCAGGAGAUUACGUGUCAGAAUUGAAUCCAAUUGUAGGACACGCAGUCAAUACUGGGGAUCGUCAGAGAAGCACAUUAGAGGGGAGGCCUCCAGAACCUUCUCAUCUUCCCGAACUGAAGCUCCAUUAACCAGUAACUCCCCAUCUCCCCUCCCCCAGACCCAGUAACCACUAGCCUACUCUGCCUCCAUGGACUUGAUGACUCUAGGGACCACAUGUAAGCAGGGUCAUAGAGUAUUUCUACUUUUGCGUCUGGUUUAUUUCAUUUAGCAUAAGGCCCACCAGGUUCAUCCGUGGCGUGUACAAAGGUCUUUUCACGUCCUUGCUUCCAAUUCUUUGGUGGGAAUACCCAGAAGUGGAAUUGCAGGAUCAUGUGGUGAUUGUAUGCAUAAUUUUGGGGGGCACCGUGUACUGUUUUCCAGUCACUGUAGCUGCACCUUUUUAUACUGUGACUUGGGGGAGUCACAUGACCUGUUAGCCUGGGAAGGCUGGAAAGGCCUGAGACACACAAACGUUUCCCCCCACCCCCCAUUCUGAGUGCAUCAGCAUCUUCACAGAUGUCUGCACAUCCCUGACUCCUGGACCAGUGUCCCGCCCGGUUGCUGGGUGAAGGGGGGCUGCUCCACGCCAUGGCAUCAGGGGGUCAGCAGAGCACAGUAAAGACAGCAGCCACGGCAAAGGAGGGAGAACCUUAGACAGCAGGCCAGCCACCACCUCAAGCCCCCAAUAAUGACAAAGGUCUCCCCCUGAGGCAGCGAGCAUCCCAGAGCCCCUCACCUGUGGGUCCUUGAAACCCUCACAGCCAAGGGCCAGGUGUCACUAUUGCAAUGUUUCCAGGGAAACACCCGUGCCAAGUCACACCAGAGCCAGGCCACAGGUCUGCACAUGUGUGCCGUGCCCCAAGGGGCUGGGCAAGGAGCGCAGUCCUUCCCGUCUGGGGCUAAAAUCAACUGGACGGCUCUUCAGACACCCACGGUCUCUCCACGGUGCUGUCACGUCUCCGUGUUCCCAGCACUGGUAGCUUGUUUGGGGGUUGCGGUUUCUUGCUGUUACACUGAGAAGGAGACUCAGCAGGAACCCAAAUGAGAGAAAGAUAUUCCGGGUGAGUUGGGGCUGCAUUAACUUGGGAUUAAGAGAUGCCAGGUAAGGGAGUUCCCGUUGUGGCUCAGUGGGUUAAGAACUCAACUAGUAUCCAUGAGGUUUGCAGGCCUCACGCAGUGGGUUAAGGAUCCAGUGUUGCUGCAGGCAGUAGGGCAGGUCACAGAUGUGUCUCGGAUCCAGUGUUGCCUCGCUUGGAUCCAGUGCGGCUCUGGAGAAGCUGGCAGCUGCAGCUCCUAUUGGAACUCUAGCCUGGAAACUUCCAUAUGCAGGAUGUGCAGCCCUAAGAAGGGAAAAAAAAAGAGAGAGAGAGAGAGGCCAGUUAAGGAAGUUGUGUUGGAGAAAUAAUAUCUGCCGCGACUCUGAAGCCCUUGGUUCACCACUAAAUCCCCGCUCCUUCAAGACCCCUGUGGACUGACCUACCGUCUAUAAAACAAAACAGGAGGGUACUUACUACCUUCCUUAGGGUCCUGCGACAGUUGUUGAGCUGACUUCCUGCUGCACCCGGAAAAAAACUCACAUCUGACAGGGACCUGGGUCUACAGGGAUCUCCCUGGUACUUCUGCGCCAUCACAACAAGAGUUCAGCGGGUGCUCCCCGCGUGUGUGCGCCCUCCAGCCCUGGCGCGGGCCCUCACGGGUGGGCGGGGAGGGCUCUUUCUCCCCGCAGAUGGCAGAGCCCAGGGCUGCGACGUGCCCUGCCUCCCACAGCCAGCAGAGGGCAGCACAGACCCACCCGGGAGCCUUGGCGAGGCCUCAGCAUCUGUAACGGAGAACGUCAUCCAGAAUCAUCCACCUGAGCCCCGCCCUAGAGGCGGGGCGGCGGGCGGGCUCCCGGAUGGCUUCCAGCGGGAGAGGGUGGAGGGGCUGCCGCCAGUGGGGGCCCUGCAGAGGCAGCCCGCGCAGGAGGACCAGCCCUUCUCUCGCUGGUAACUGCCCAGGGUCUGCGUUCCCUCUGCUUUACCACGCGGGACCCCGCAGGCACACUUUCGUGGGAGGGGUGCGAUCAGGACCAGCGCCCCACGGCAUAGAGUGAGGGGACCCGUGGCAUGCUCAGCCUGGCCCUGGGUCUGAGGGAUCAGACGCAGUCUUCACGGGCUGCAGGCUGGCCCAGCUCAGGGAGCCAGAGGCUGAGGCGACACUGACCGGGUCUGGGUCUGAGCGGAGGUUUGCCAUCAGGAAAGAAGCCACUGAAAACGGAACUGCACAUCAAACCCCAGUCACGUGGGUGGAGGCCAGCUGAGAAGUCCACUGGGCUGGGGGACCUGGGGACGUCCCCAAAGCAGAUGCUGCCAGACGCACCAGAGACAGGAAGGGACGGCCUGCACUCUCCCUUCCUUCCGCCCUCCAGCCUCAAGACCCGGGUUGCUGCUGACGCACCCCAGGAGGAAGCUGAAGAUCACUUACAUAUGGAAUCUAAAAUAGGUCACAAAUGAACUUAGCUGUAGAACAGAAACAGACGCACAGAUGUAGAGAACAGAAUUGUGGUUGCCAAAGGCGAGGCGGGCAGCGAAGGAUUGGGAGCUUGGGAUUCGCAGAUGCAAACUGUUGGAUAUAGAAUAUGGAUAAACAAGGUCCUCCGAGAGCACAGGCAACUAGUCAGCAUCUUGUAAUAAACCGUCAUGGAAAAAAUUACAAAAAAGUGUACAUAUAUCUAUGGGUGUGCUUGUGUAUAUAAAAUAUACAAAUGUGUACAUUCGUAUGUAUAUGUCUGCAUACAUAUGUAUAAAUCACGCUGCUGUACAGCAGAAAUUAACACAAUAUUGAAAAUUAACUAAACCUGAAUUUAACAAAAACCCCUGCAGGUUAUAUUUUCCAUGCGCUCAACUACCUUGUUUGGCUGCCGGGUUCUCUGGUAAGAGUCUCCUUAUUUUAUGCACCACUGUAUCCUCUUGGGUAAUUCUAAAGCACAAAAAAAGGGUUAGGACACCCAUAUUCUCCUAGGAAAUGUUCAAAAUUGUAGUUGCCCCUUCUUGGAAGCCAAAGGAAAAUAAAAGAAGGC